rnacentral:rRNA from 1 species
AUUGAACGCUGGCGGCAGGCUUAACACAUGCACGUCGAGCGAGCGGCGGACGGGUGAGUAAUGUCUGGGAAACUGCCUGAUGGAGGGGGAUAACUACUGGAAACGGUAGCUAAUACCGCAUACUAUCGGAUGUGCCCAUAUGGGAUUAGCUAGUAGGUGGGGUAAAGGCUCACCUAGGCGACGAUCCCUAGCUGGUCUGAGAGGAUGACCAGCCACACUGGGACUGAGACACGGUCCAGAAUCCUACGGGAGGCAGCCGUGGGGAAUAUUGCACAAUGGGGGAAAGCCUGAUGCAGCCAUGCCGCGUGUAGGAAGAAGGCCUUCGGGUUGUAAAGUACUUUCAGCGGGGAGGCGUUACCCGCAGAAGAAGCACCGGCUAACUCCGUGCCAGCAGCCGCGGUAAUAC